CUACCUAAAUUUAAAGUAAACAAACUUCAAAUCAAGCGCAAAGGAAAAAACGAACAGCAGUGGGUCGCGUCCCGGGAUUUAGAUUAAAAAUGCUGCUCCUAAAGCUGAUGGAAUAACGGAACGAAUCGAGCAGGCGGGUCAGUUUAGUCACUUGGUGUCGGAAGCCGUAUCCGCGCCAUUAAGAACUUUUUCACCGGAAGUGUUACGAGAGCACGGAUUCCAUCAGAACCGCCCUCGUGCCAUCAAACGGAAUCCGAGGAGCGUCGGGAGAUCAACACAGGCCUACUGCUCCGGGUAAAAAUUGCACUGAAGGAAUUGGUAGCACCUGGUUCAUGGACCCGCCUGAUAACCGAGAAUGGCCUUGACCGAGUUUACCUUUAGAAACUCUCAGCAACGACUUGUGUCCACGAUUUAAGAUGGAAGCCAAUUGAGGUUAUUCAAAAUUUUCCAGAAAGAUUCCGGGA